rnacentral:rRNA from 1 species
GAUGAACGCUGGCGGCGUGCCUAAUACAUGCAAGUCGAGCGAACGGACGAGAAGCUUGCUUCUCUGAUGUUAGCGGCGGACGGGUGAGUAACACGUGGAUAACCUACCUAUAAGACUGGGAUAACUUCGGGAAACCGGAGCUAAUACCGGAUAAUAUUUUGAACCGCAUGGUUCAAAAGUGAAAGACGGUCUUGCUGUCACUUAUAGAUGGAUCCGCGCUGCAUUAGCUAGUUGGUAAGGUAACGGCUUACCAAGGCAACGAUGCAUAGCCGACCUGAGAGGGUGAUCGGCCACACUGGAACUGAGACACGGUCCAGACUCCUACGGGAGGCAGCAGUAGGGAAUCUUCCGCAAAGGGCGAAAGCCUGACGGAGCAACGCCGCGUGAGUGAUGAAGGUCUUCGGAUCGUAAAACUCUGUUAUUAGGGAAGAACAUAUGUGUAAGUAACCGUGCACAUCUUGACGGUACCUAAUCAGAAAGCCACGGCUAACUACGUG